UACGGAGGGUGUAAGCGUUAUCCGGAUUCACUGGGGUUAAAGGGUGCGUAGGCGGGUAAGUAAGUCCGUGGUGAAAUCUCUGAGCUUAACUCAGAAACUGCCGUGGAUACUAUUUGCCUUGAAUAUUGUGGAGGUGAGCGGAAUAUGUCAUGUAGCGGUGAAAUGCUUAGAUAUGACAUAGAACACCAAUUGCGAAGGCAGCUCACUACACAAUCAUUGACGCUGAGGCACGAAAGCGUGGGGAUCAAACAGG
rnacentral:rRNA from 1 species